rnacentral:miRNA from 1 species
ACCUGGGAUUGCUUUGCC